CUUUGGGGACGAGGAGCUGAUGGAUGCCUCCCUAAAGCCGGAGGGCAUGCAGGUUAGGGGAUGUGUGAAUGGAGAUGGCCCCUCUGCCAGGGGCCUGGGGUCCUGCCUUGCCAGACUGUCCUCACAUUUCAUGGGGGUUGCAGCUUGGAGUCCAGCUAGGUAAGGUCCAGUGCUCCUGAUUGAAUGGCCCAGGUUCCCUUUGCCCCACCCCACCCCACCUUCCAGAUUCUUCUUCUCGGAGGCCCUGCUGCCAGGUCCCUCCUCCACAGUGACUGGGGCAGGUGGAAGGAAGACAGCGAACUGCUUACCUUGGUGAUGCCUGGGUCCUGUGGAGGUGGCCCUGCUGGACAGAUGGAGAGGGCAGAUAGCAGGGGCUGUGCAUGGAGGGAAAGGGACAUCAGGAGAGGCCGAGGCUGGAGCGGGGCCGGCCACAGCCCUCCCCUCCAGCCAGUGUGUGCUGGGGUGACUGCACACAGGCGGCAUUGUCCUCCCACCUGCCACAGGGCGUGGCCCAGACUGGGAGGGGGUGGCUCGAGAAUGCUCCAGGGCCAUUGCUGGAGGAGCUCUUCCUUAUACCCUCCCUUCCCCACAAGCAAUGUCCCCAGCUCCAGGUGGGGGUCCUGGCUCCCAGUACAGAGGCCAAUGGGGGGGGGGCCCUGUUACCCUGGGUUGGAGCUCCGUGGGCGCGCUGCAGUCUGUGUAGGAGGCAUCAAAGGGCAGAGCCUCUGCGGGAAGCCUGUGGUCGCAUUUCCCAAUCAAACUGCCCUCUGCACACCUGCGGGAUCUCUCUGUGAGCACCAGGGUGAGGGGAUGAGGGAACAUCCUGGGCCAUGGUCCCUUCAUUCACCCCCAGGGAACAGCCCAUAGACUGAGGGCCUCACGGUCCCUGGGCUUGGCUUUCCAGGCCCUGCCAGAGGUGCAGCCAGUCUAGUCCGGGGCUGAAGUGUAGGCUUCCCAUAGGAAGGGGUGGCCUAGAACUUCAAGAGCUGUGGAGUCUCCUCGAAAAUUAGAAACACGGUGUUAACCCAGGGCUUGGAGGCAGGGGUGCAGAGGGAGCUGGUGGGCGCCUAUCCCUUCCUCCCUGACCAGCCCUGGACUGCAUGCCGUGGCUGGUUCUAGAGUGAAGGCAGGUUCUAAUUCUGGGGGUCUCACCCACCUCCCUCUAAACUCUGGGUAGCAAUGCAGGCUGGGGUGCAUGUUUGUGGGUGUGUCUCCCAGCAGCCCUGGAGCCUCUGAAGCGACAGCCCGCUUCUCAGGGAGGCACCCCCGGCAGCCACAGCCCACAGCAGGACAGCAGCUCAGCUCCCCCUUGAGAGCUGGGCCAGGAAUGAGUCACACCUGAACUGCCUGGGCACACUGCAGGCAGUCGGCGGUGACGUGGAGGGGUGCCGUGGUCUUGGGUGGAGUGUGGCUCCCUGCGUCUGAGAGACGCUUUGUCUCCUGCUGUCCUCUCCUGCCAGGCCCCUCCUGCACUGACUGGCUUCCAGACACCCUGCGCUCCUUCCUUGCUCACAGCAGCGGCUGUGGCGAUCCUCCUGUGCGCCUCUCCUUCUGCCCACCCUGCCCCUGCGGGUCCUCGUCACUGACCCCCUAGCUCGGCAGCCUAGGCACCACCACCCCGCACCUUUCCACAGCACAGCUCUGCUCACGCCUGCGAAGCCUGCCACCGCCUGGGAAGGAAAAGCCAGACUUGCCGGACUCGCCUCAGCUGGGCCUUUGAAGCCCGCCAGGAAGUGCCUCGUCCCACCCACUUACCCCCGGGAGACCGAGCUUACUCCUCCUCCUAUUAAGACCCUCAGCCCAUGGAGUCGCGUGUGAGGUUGUGCACCCUGGAGGACAGACUGAACUGCAGGAUGCUCUGCACAUAGACCUCAAAAUGACAGUGUGACAGACACUGUCAUUUUGAACUUGUUGGAGGGGGCUGCGGACUGCUUUUCUUCCUUUCUAGCUCAAUGGCAGCUAAAGCCACUGCACACCAUGCAAGGACCGGCUUUUCUCUGGCCAGGACUGAUUGCAGCCCCUGGUGACAUGAGAACCCUGUUGGUUAGAACAAAGUUUGGAUUAUUUAUGUUGCAAGUAACCAAAAUCUCAAGUUAAACUGGUUUAAACUAUUUAUUUUUAGUCGAUUCUUUUUUAGAGACACAUUUAUUUAUUUAUUUUUAGCUAAUUCUUUUUUAGAGACAAGGCAUUCUUAGGUUGCCCAGGCUGGUCUUGAACUCCAGGCCUCAGCAAUCUUUCCACUUCUGCCUCCUGAGUUGCUGGGAUUACAGGUGUUAGCCACCAUGCCUGGUCUAAACAGUAUAAAGGUGGCCCACAUGGUGGAAAAAAAAAA